rnacentral:lncRNA from 1 species
GCCUUAAUGAGGUUUGGGAGGUUUUUGUUGCUUUAAUCGAACUUUUUGUGCUUUUCCAGGCUGGGAGAGCACCCAGAGGUGCUGGUGGCAGAGGGGGUGGCACCGUGUCCCCCCUGCUUGGGUGGGCAGGGAAUAUCCCGGGCUGGGGCGAAGUGGAUCCAUGGGUUUGGGAACGCGGCGAUGGAAGGGCAGAACUUCCCCUGGGAAGGGAGAAUCCUCCCCCCAAACCCAUCCCCGUCCCUCCCCAGCCCCCGGAAACUCCCCCUGGAUCCUUCCCUUCUCCGGGUGAGCGUUCCCGGAGCUGCUCCAGGUGCUGCCGGUGAUGGGAACCCCGCACAAAUCCCUGAUGGGAGCCGGGCAGGGCUGAGCUGGGAUGGGCACAGGGACACUGAGGGCGCACCUGGAAUGCUGCAGGAGGAGAGCGCGGGCUGCGGGAUCGCCGGGAUUUCCUCAGCUGCUUCCACGGCUGGGGUUAAUUAAUGACUCAUUAAAGCCCCUCCCCGAGGCUUUGCCGUCGUCGGGACUCGGGGCGCAGCAUUCCCAGAGGGACCUGGGGAGACCUUGGGGCUCCCGGGGCCUGAAGGAGUUUCAGGUGAGCCGGAGAGGGGUUGGGGACAAGGGAUGGAGGGACAGGACCCUGCCGGAGGGAUGGACGGACGGGAUUUUGGGAAGGAAUUCCCAGAGAAGCUGUGGCUGCCCCUGGAUCCCGGGAAUUUUCAGAGCCGGGUUUGGAGCGGCCCCAUCCCGCUGCUGCUCCGCAAUUCCGAGCUUUGGAUCCUUCUCCGGCUCCGUCCCCUCGCCACAAUCCCCCAAAAAACUCCCCAAAAACCCCUCGGGGCAUUCCCCACCUUUGCGUGCCAUUAACCGCAACCCCGGGCUGGAAUUGCCGAGCCCGGAGCUGCCCCGGCAGCCGCAGGGACCUGUCCCUGCUUUCUGCAGCACUUCCUUAAAUAAUCUGCUUUCCCCAACACUUAACCUCGGGAUCCUCCCCUUGGAACGCGGGCGAGUCUGGCGCGCACUCGCCGGACCACCCUGGGAAGCAAAUCCCGAUAAUUUAUGGAGAGGCUCAGCUGAGAACAGCCCUGAACACCAGCAGAAGCUGGCGACGCCAGGGAGGCUUUCAGAACCUGCCUGGGCGUCGGGAUCAAAGCAGCAGCGAUCCCCUUCCUCACCGGGGGCGCGGGGAACGUCCAGGGGCCCCCAGGAUCCCAGAGCCAGCCCAGGAAUGUCAAGCGGGGCUAAGUGCUCGCCCCAGCGGCACUGCCGGACAAAAGGCGACACUUGGGGACAUUAAAUCGCUCAGGGACAGUCAAGGACUCUUCAAAGCGGCUGCGAAUUGUGUGGCCAAGCUGGGAAACACGAGGCACAGGCUCCUGCUGGCCCGGGCACGCCUCUCAUCGGGGAAAAGGAUGGAGCAGAGAGCAAAAAUAAUCCCCAAAAUCCUAUUUUUGAUUUGGGAAAAUGAAGGGGAGAGCUCGGGGAUUUGGUCUGGGGCUCCAGGGGAGGAUGCCAGGGCUGGAAACGAUGCCAGGAGAAGAUGCCAGGAGGGUGCUGGGGUGUCUGGAGGAGAUGCUGAGGCUGAAGAAGAAGAUGUGGAGUAACCGGGGGCAGAGGUUGUGGUACCCAGGGCAGAUUUGGGGCUGCUGGGGAAGAUGUUGAGGCAGGUACCCGGCGAAGAUCUGGGGAGGAUGCUGAGGUACCCGGGGCAGAUUUGGGGUUGCUGGGGAGGAUGCUGAGGUACCCAGGGAAGAUCUGGGGCUGCUGGGGAAGAAGUUGAGGCACCUAGGGCAGAUCCGGGGGGGGAUGCUGGAGAAGAUUUGGGGUACCCAGGGAAGACCUUGGGGAGAUGUUGAGGUACCCAGGGAAGAUUUGGAGCUGCUGAGGAAGAUGUUGGGGUACCCAGAGAUGAUUUGGGGCUGCUGGGGAGGAUGCUGAGGUACCCAGGGAAGAUUUGGGGCUGCUGGGACCAGUGCCAGGGUUGCUGGGGAAGACGUUGGGGUACCCAGAGAAGAUUUGGGGAAGAUGCUGAGGUACCCGGCGAAGAUCUGGGGAGGAUGCUGAGGUACCCGGGGCAGAUUUGGGGUUGCUGGGGAGGAUGCUGAGGUACCCAGGGAAGAUCUGGGGCUGCUGGGGAAGAAGUUGAGGCACCUAGGGCAGAUCCGGGGGGGAUGCUGGAGAAGAUUUGGGGUACCCAGGGAAGACCUUGGGGGAUGCUGAGGUACCCGGGGUAGAUUUGGGGUUGCUGGGGAAGAUGUUGGGGUACCCAGGGAGGAUCCAGGGGUUUUGCUGAGGUACCCAGGGAGGAUCCGGGGGGGAUGCUGGGGUACCCAGGGAGGAUCCCCCCCCCCCCCCCCCCCCCCCCCCCCCCCCCCCCCCCCCCCCCCCCCCCCCCCCCCCCC